GGAUCUGUAGUGUAAAGGUAACACACCGGACCUUUAAUCCGGGUGAUGGGAGUUCAAGUCUCUUCGGAUCCACCA
rnacentral:tRNA from 1 species